AAACAAAUAUUGAAAAGUGUUGUGCCUUCACAGAAUUUAAAUUGGCAUUAGGAAUAGAUUUCCUUGAUUUAGUAAUGAUAUUGCUCAUAGAAAUUGAUAAUGUGAAGAAUAACAAUACAUGAACAUAGAAUAACAAGAAAGAAAUUCUAGCAGCAAGUUAGGUUAUGAGAUAAAUUUUAUUUAUAUAGUUUGUUUAAAGAGUUUAGUUUGAAAAAAAGGGACACAGUAAAAAGACAAAACAUUUAGACCCUUUGAAAUAGAAAUGUUUGCAAUGGAUAUUAAUAAAUUCUAGCCAAUUUGUACGAUGUACAAUGCAGGCAAUAUUUCUGCCUCCUAACGCACUAUUCGCGUAAAAGAAGAUAACAGAUUUAUUAUUAGUUGGCUAGUGUGUUAGUAGGAUAGCCAUUGGUAGUUAUAAAGUAUGAAGUCGUCAGGUAUUAAUAAUAGGAAUUGAUCAAAGCUUAUACAUUUAUUGUGAUAUUUAUAUUGUGAAUUUAAGUAGUUAGUUUUGGUUGUUUAAUAAACGA
rnacentral:lncRNA from 1 species